rnacentral:rRNA from 1 species
ACAUGCAAGUCGAACGCUUUUUCUUUCACCGGAGCUUGCUCCACCGAAAGAAAAGGAGUGGCGAACGGGUGAGUAACACGUGGGUAACCUGCCCAUCAGAAGGGGAUAACACUUGGAAACAGGUGCUAAUACCGUAUAACAAUCGAAACCGCAUGGUUUCGGUUUGAAAGGCGCUUUUGCGUCACUGAUGGAUGGACCCGCGGUGCAUUAGCUAGUUGGUGAGGUAACGGCUCACCAAGGCAACGAUGCAUAGCCGACCUGAGAGGGUGAUCGGCCACAUUGGGACUGAGACACGGCCCAAACUCCUACGGGAGGCAGCAGUAGGGAAUCUUCGGCAAUGGACGGAAGUCUGACCGAGCAACGCCGCGUGAGUGAAGAAGGUUUUCGGAUCGUAAAACUCUGUUGUUAGAGAAGAACAAGGAUGAGAGUAGAAUGUUCAUCCCUUGACGGUAUCUAACCAGAAAGCCACGGCUAACUACGUGCCAGCAGCCGCGGUAAUACGUAGGUGGCAAGCGUUGUCCGGAUUUAUUGGGCGUAAAGCGAGCGCAGGCGGUUUCUUAAGUCUGAUGUGAAAGCCCCCGGCUCAACCGGGGAGGGUCAUUGGAAACUGGGAAACUUGAGUGCAGAAGAGGAGAGUGGAAUUCCAUGUGUAGCGGUGAAAUGCGUAGAUAUAUGGAGGAACACCAGUGGCGAAGGCGGCUCUCUGGUCUGUAACUGACGCUGAGGCU